UGUGGCUGACACACUAGAUCGGGUGCAGAUGUUGCUGGAGACUCUGCUUUCUUGCAUCCUGCUUGGAAAAAGUAACCGGCACACUGGACAAGGGAGCAUAAGCCUAUAAUACCAGUGCUGUCAAUUAUGCCAAUUAUUAUGCAAAUGAUGUCCUUCUGCUCAAAUGUGUCUCUGGAAACAAAGGGACUGAACUGGAUCUGAGGAGUAUGGAUGGAAAAUAAUCCUGUGGUUUAGAUGCCUUGAAGUGAGCCACUUACUCCACCAGCCACCCCAACCAACACAAGUCCUCCUUCACAUAGGUCCAAAGACAACAGAGCAUGGACUAAAACUUCCAAAGAUGGCCUGCUUAAAUCAUAAAAUGGAGGAAAGCCCUGCUCCAGGAACUCCAGCUGACUCCCACUCUUCUACAGCUUCCAUGGACUGAGAGUGGCUUUGCUAUCUGGAUAAUGAGAAAUCCAGAAAGCAGUGAGCAUAACCUCUUUCUGGACAGAUGGAUGGACGGGCAGGUGGAAUUCUGUGAGAGCUGUAGCUGGACAUGGAUUCUCAGGUUGGAGCAGAUCCUCAUACAGAUCCUGUAUCUUGAACCUCUACCCAGCUUGUGACUUCCUUCUAUAAA